GCUUAGUCUCCCGGAUGCUGGUCUACUUGUCAAAUUGUCAAAGAUCAAGAAACCAAGCGUGUUUGCUACUAGCUCACUAGCUAUUUCGGACAUUGUCGUACCCCAAGCUUCUCAAACUAGAGCCCCUCCUAGACCAGUCUUCGUCGUUCCCUGGAUUGUCUCCCCGCUCCAGGCUCGAGUUUAGGCCCUUCCUACAUUCGAAGGAUAAUGUUUUUGGAUUCCAAAGACAUAGAGGAGCGUCACGCUGCACUAGCGACAGCAGUCAAUAGAUCUUGCUCGACUAAUCUUCAGUCAAUUCUCAUCAGUGACCAUUCCAGAAGUCAAUUCCAAUGCAACUGCAGCGGGUGAGACAAAGCCAAGCAUCAAUGUAGACAGAGGAAAUCACUGCAGCUCACAGCUGUUGUCACGGACCAGGUUCAUGCACCCACAUGUGAUUGUUAGCUGCCUCAUUGUUUCCCAUAGAAUGAAGGGCAGCAGAACACCAGAGGAUAAAAGGAACCCCAUAUGGGCCCAUCAGACUGUGGAAAUAGCAGAGGAAGUAAGGAGAAGGACAUGGUGACUAUGUUCAUGAGACCAGAGCCGUACAUGGCUCUGUGUAAGACUGCUGUUUCUGAUACCCUAACAGUCUGGCCUAGCGUUCCUCAGAUCUCAGUACCUCAAGAUAUAGUUUCAGGAUAUAGCUUCAAGCUAUACUUAUAAAACUAUCCCACAUUAAUUAAUUUGUGAUUUAUAGAAACUUAUUAUGUUCAAUAAA